rnacentral:snRNA from 1 species
AGUCGAAAUCCGCUAAGGA